rnacentral:misc_RNA from 1 species
UUAAACUUUAAAGCUAUUAGGAAUUUUGGGGUGCAUACAAUGGUGAGUGAACUGUUUGUUCAAGUUUAAACGAUCCAAUGCAACAUCGAACAAAUACAAUUAUCACCAAAUAAUAUGUCAAAUCUCUAAGUUCCAUGUACUCUCAGCACUUAGUUUUGGCACUUUUGACUCCUCGCCCAAAUUGAGGGAUGCAGAGAUCUUGAAAUUGCCAUUAAAUUUUGAAUUCCUUGACCACUCUAAUCCCAAUGCCUUGCUUGUUUGAUAUGUCGCCCUAAACACAUCAUCAGCAUAAACCUUACGUGAAACAGCAAAAUCCCAGGAGUUCUUUGCCAAAUCAUAGCAAGGUUCAAAUGUUGUUGCCCCUCCC